rnacentral:lncRNA from 1 species
UACUUAAUUAGCUUAAUUUUUUAGCUCUUUAUUCUUAUAUUCCUAAGAAAUAUGAGUAUUUAUGCUAAUAACAUAAAUCUUGAGAGGAAAAAAACUUAAUUUAAUAGCCGAAUUUUUUAUCCCAAAUUUUUAAUUGAUGAACGUAUAAUAUCCGUAUAAAUCACGUAUCCGAAUAAUUGACGAAUCUAUUUUUUAGCCGUAUUUUUCAACGAAUUUAAAAAUUAGAAGACGAAUUUUAUCCGAAUUAUAUCCGUACCGAAUUUUUGCCGAAUCCGAAUUAACUAACUAUAGUAUAAACGGAGAUUAAAUUAAUUUUACGUUUGGAUGAAAAUUACGUUAUUCCUGAAAUAAAAAAAAAUAGCGUUUGGUUAGGUAAGAUGGAAUAAGAAUUAAAGUGGGUAGUUAUAAAUAAAAAAUAAUGAUAUUAUCCUUCUCAUUAUAUUUGAAUUUGAAUUUUUAAACUAUAUAUAUAUUUUUAAAAUUUAGAAUUUUAACUUUUAAAUUUCAAAUUUUGAAAUUAAAUUUUAAAAUUUAAAAUCUCAAAAUUUAAAUUUUAAAUUUUAAAUUUUAAAUUUUAAAUUUUAAAUUUCAUACUUUAAAUUUAAGAUCAAAUUUAAAUUUGAAAAAUAUAAAAUAUAUAAUUUAAAAUUUCAAAAAUUUAAAAUAUCAAAUUUUAAAUUUUAAAUUUUAAAUUUUAAAUUUUGAAAAUAAGAAUAGGGGUGGGAACAAUUAAUAAAAAUAAUUUAUUAUAAUAAAUUUAUAAAUUUGAUAAUAAUAAAUUUUUUUAAAAAUUUAUAAAUUUUUUAUUAUUAAUAAAUUAAUAAUUUUUUAAAAUUCUACUUAAACUUAAAUUUAAUAAAAAUAAUAUUUUAUAAUAUUUAAAUAUAAUUUAUUUUAAUAUUUAAUAUUUAAAUAUAAAUAAUAUAUAUUAAUAUAGUACAAUUAAUAAUUUUAUAAUAAAAAUAAUAUAUUAUAAUAUAUAACAUAUUAUAUUUAUAUAAUUUAGUUUUAAUUUAAUUUAUAAUUUUAAUAAAGCUUGAAAUUAAAUAUUGGAAUAAUACUAUUCCAUCAAAAUGGUAAAAUAGUAAAUCCCUUGCUAUUCCGUGAUAGCCGAGAAUAGCAAGAUUUAAUCGGGAUAAAAUAUUCCGGCCAAAAAUUAUUUCGUUUGGCGGAAUAGAGGGGAUAACUUUCGUUAUCCCCGCUUAUACCGCCAACCAAACGAGGAGAGUAUAAUUUUGUAAUAGAAAGACAUUGCCAUUUCUGUAUUUUAGCAUUACACUUCUCUCUACCUGUAUAAUUACCUAUUUUCUCUUUUAUAUAUAUAUAUAUAUAUAUAUAUAUAGAGAGAGAGAGAGAGAGAGAGAGAGAGAGAGAGAGAGAGAAUUAUGCUACUAUACUAUCAAUAGAACUAGGCUGGAACUAGGCUUGGUGCUAUUGUACUAUAAUUUUGUAAUAAAACUAGGCUGGAAUACUAUCGAUAGCAUCAAGGGCUUCGUGCUAUCAGUUUUUUAGCCCUUAUAUUGAGAAAUGUGCAGUUAGGAUGAUGUGGGUCCCCUAGGGUUGAGUGGGUGGUUGGUUGAAUAAGUAUAAUCUAACGGAUAAAAAUAAUCAAAGAGUUAAAUCUAACGGUGGAAAACUCAAUAGCACCAAAUCCUUAGUGCUAUCGACAGUAUCCCAGCCGGACUAUAUAUAUAUAUAUAUAUAUAUAUAUAUAUAUAUAGAGAGAGAGAGAGAGAGAGAGAGAGAGNAA